rnacentral:rRNA from 1 species
CCCGCUGAACUUAAGCAUAUCAAUAAGCGCAGGAAAAGAAACCAACAGGGAUUGCCUCAGUAACGGCGAGUGAAGUGGCAACAGCUCAAAUUUGAAAUCUGGUCCCUUUCGGGGCUCGAGUUGUAAUUUGUAGAGGAUGUCUUCGGGUUUGGCCCUGGCCUAAGUUCCUUGGAACAGGACGUCACAGAGGGUGAGAAUCCCGUAUGUGGCUGGUGGUCUAUGCCCAUGUGAAGCUCCUUCGACGAGUCGAGUUGUUUGGGAAUGCAGCUCAAAAUGGGUGGUAAGUUUCAUCUAAAGCUAAAUACCGGCGGGAGACCGAUAGCGCACAAGUAGAGUGAUCGAAAGAUGAAAAGCACUUUGGAAAGAGAGUUAAAAAGUACGUGAAAUUGUUGAAAGGGAAGCGCUUGCGACCAGACUUGCCCUCGGUUGAUCAACCUGGUGUUCCUCACCGGUGCACUCUGCUGAGGUCAGGCCAGCAUCGGUUUGGGCGGUUGGAGAAAGGCCGUGGGAAUGUGACUUCCUCGGGGAGUGUUAUAGCCCUCGGUGUCAUGCGACCAGCCUGGACUGAGGACCGCGCCUUUGGUGGCUAGGAUGCUGGCAUAAUGGUCGUAAGCGACCCGUCUUGAAACACGG